rnacentral:rRNA from 1 species
CCUACGGGAGGCAGCAGUGGGGAAUAUUGCACAAUGGGCGCAAGCCUGAUGCAGCGACGCCGCGUGAGGGAUGACGGCCUUCGGGUUGUAAACCUCUUUCACCAGGGACGAAGCGCAAGUGACGGUACCUGGAGAAGAAGCACCGGCCAACUACGUGCCAGCAGCCGCGGUAAUACGUAGGGUGCAAGCGUUGUCCGGAAUUACUGGGCGUAAAGAGCUCGUAGGCGGUUUGUCGCGUCGUCUGUGAAAUUCUGCAGCUUAACUGCAGGCGUGCAGGCGAUACGGGCAGACUUGAGUACUACAGGGGAGACUGGAAUUCCUGGUGUAGCGGUGAAAUGCGCAGAUAUCAGGAGGAACACCGGUGGCGAAGGCGGGUCUCUGGGUAGUAACUGACGCUGAGGAGCGAAAGCGUGGGUAGCGAACAGGAUUAGAUACCCUGGUAGUCCACGCCGUAAACGGUGGGUACUAGGUGUGGGUUCCUUUUCACGGGAUCCGUGCCGUAGCUAACGCAUUAAG